GACGAACGCUGGCGGCGUGCUUAACACAUGCAAGUCGAGGGGGCUCGGGGGCGAACUCCGGGUCACCGGCGAACGGGUGCGUAACACGUGAGCGACCUGCCCAACUGCGGGGGAUAGCCGGCCCAACGGGACCGGGUAAUACCGCAUACGACGUCUGGCCCGCAUGGGCCGGGCGUGAAACCGAGUUCAGGGCGGUUGGAGGGGCUCGCGGCCUAUCGAGCUAGUUGGCGAGGUAACGGCUCACCAAGGCGAUGACGGGUAGCUGGUCUGAGAGGAUGGCCAGCCACAUUGGGACUGAGAGACGG
rnacentral:rRNA from 1 species